rnacentral:misc_RNA from 1 species
GAUGAAGAACGUAGUUAAAUGCGAUAAGUAAUGCGAAUUGCAGAAUUCAGUGAGUCAUCGAAUCUUUGAACGCACAUUGCGCCCUGUGGUAUUCCGCAGGGCAUGCCUGUUCGAGCGUCAUUUCAACCCUCAAGCUCUGCUUGGUGUUGGGCCCUGCCCGCUGCGGCCGGCCCUAAAGACAGUGGCGGUGCCGCCUGGCCCUGAGCGUAGUACAUCUCUCGCUCCAGUGCCCGGUGGUAGCCUGCCAGAACCCCAACUCUCGUGGUUGACCUCGGAUCAGGUAGGGAUACCCGCUGAACUUAAGCAUAUCAAUAAGCGGAGGA